rnacentral:rRNA from 1 species
ACUCAAAGGAAUAGACGGGGGCCCGCACAAGCGGCGGAGCGUGCGGUUUAAUUCGACGCAACGCGCAAAACCUUACCAGGGCUGGACACGCCCCUGCAUCCCCCGGAAACGGGGUGGCCUUCGAGGGUGGGGCGCAGGUGCUGCAUGGCUGUCGUCAGCUCGUGUCGUGAGAUGUUGGGUUAAGUCCCGCAACGAGCGCAACCCCCGCGGCCAGUUGGAGCGCGUCUCUGGCCGGACCGCCGGUCGCAAACCGGAGGAAGGUGGGGAUGAUGUCAAGUCAGCAUGGCCCUUACGCCCUGGGCGACACGCACGCUACAAUGGCCGGGACAGCGGGUCGCCAAGCCGCGAGGCGGAGCCAAUCCCCCAAACCCGGCCCCAGUUCGGAUCGGGGGCUGCAACCCGCCCCCGUGAAGCCGGAGUCGCUAGUAACCGCGGGUCAGCAGUACCGCGGUGAAUGUGUUCCCGGGCCUUGUACACACCGCCCGU